rnacentral:rRNA from 1 species
AGCAGCCGCGGUAAUUCCAGCUCCAAUAGCGUAUAUUAAAGUUGUUGCAGUUAAAAAGCUCGUAGUUGAAUUUCGGGAUUGGCACAUCGGUCGUGCCUUAAGGGGCAUGAACUGGUGUAGCCAAUUUCUCACCUUCUGGAGAACCGCGAUGUCCUUAAUUGGGUGCCGCGAGGAACCAGGACCUUUACUUUAGAAAAAUUAGAGUGUUUAAAGCAGGCAUUUUGCUUGAAUACAUUAGCAUGGAAUAAUAAAAUAGGACAGAUGAUUCUAUUUUGUUGGUUUCUAGGACCACCGUAAUGAUUAAUAGGGAUAGUUGGGGGCAUUAGUAUUCAAUUGCCAGAGGUGAAAUUCUUGGAUUUAUUGAAGACUAACUACUGCGAAAGCAUUUGCCAAGGAUGUUUUCAUUAAUCAAGAACGAAAGUUAGGGGAUCGAAGACGAUCAGAUACCGU